CUAAACGGUACCCUAUUUUUUCGAAAAACCCUUCUAUGCUCUCUCUGUCUCUCUCUCAAUCACCAUUCGCUCUGUGAGAAGGAGCCUCAAUCUUUCUCGCUUUCUCUAUCAAUCACCAAGUGUAAGUGUUAUGUGAAUUUGUUGCUUUUUUCUGUUUUGCAGGCUACAUCUUUUUCUUUGCUCUUCCUCUGCUUCAAUGAAAGCAAGAGAGGCAUCACCCUCUUCGUGAG
rnacentral:lncRNA from 1 species